UGCAGCUUCACCAAGCAGAGUGGGACCGCCAAGCUGCUAAGGAUGGCCUCAUUGAUACUAUGGGACGAGGCCAGCAUGACUAAGCGACAAGCGGUUGAGGCAUUAGACAAUAGCAUGCGCGACAUCAUGGGAAUACGCGACCGACCCUUUGGAGGAAAGACUGUUGUUUUUGGCGGGGACUUUAGGCAGGUGCUUCCGGUCGUCAGAAGGGGGUCACGGGGCCAGAUAAUUGAUGCAAGCCUCCGAAGUUCUCAUCUAUGGAAGAGUAUGCGGCAGCUUCAGCUCAUCACCAACAUGAGGGCUCAUAAUGACAAGUGGUUUGCAGAUUACUUGCUCAGGGUCGGUAAUGGCACAGAGGAAGCCGACGAUCAAGGCAACAUACUACUCCCUGAUGAUAUCUGUCUGCCAUCUACAGGCGAGGUUGACGACCUGGAGAAGCUGAUUGACCACGUGUUUCCGAGUCUAGAUGACAACAUGGCAGAUUCGAGUUACAUGACAUCUCGCGCAAUCCUUUCCACGCCAAAUGACAACGUCGAC
rnacentral:rRNA from 1 species